GGCCUAGUCAAUAAUAAUAUGGCUCUAGAUUUACAAAGCAGAUUAAGAAAACCUAUGUGGUAAAUGAACACUCUUUCUGCAAGUGUAUAAAUAAUCAGAUGAAACCAACAGUAUUGCCCCUUAUUUUUUUUCUUUCCCACUGAACUGAGAGUUUCUUAACUUCUCUCUUAUCCUCAGUGCCUAGCACAGUGUUUGGCAUGAAGAAGGUAGUCAACAUUAUUUAUUGGAAGAAUAAAAAUCAGGUUAUGGAAUUGUAUUUGUGCCUGAUUCUGCCCAUGAGGCAGUGAUGGAGGGUUGGGGAGGUAGGGCAGGGGCCUGAGCCCACCAAGUAUGGUGUCCUCUGCCCACUUCCAGCUGUAACUUGGGGGAGGGGUAGCAUCCAUUAAAAAUAAACUCAUAAUUAGCUUCAAAAAUACUCCCGGAAUAAAUGAACACAUAAGUAAAAAUAAUAAAAUAUGGAGGAGAGAUGAAACAAGAUGGGCAAAAUGUUGAUUAUCAUUGAGUUGCAGGUGGUGGGCACUUGGGGAUUAAUUAUACCCUUCUCUCCCACUUCAAUGCAUGUUGGAAGUUUUCCACACUAAAAAGUUUUUAAAAAUCGCCUUGGAGGAGAAGAAAAUUACACAAAAGCUGGAACCUGUCUUGCGCCGCACCCUACUCCCUGGGGAAGUCUACCAAAGCAUCCCUGCACCCACUUUCGUCCUCAGGGCCGAAGUUUCCCUCAAGGAAGCCUAUUCGAGAUGAGGGCUGGAACCCGGAAGAGGGUCCCGAAAACCUUUUAUCUGGAACCUCAUUCCCUAUUGUGUCUAGAGCAAACCAUGAGGGAUUUGAAAAGAGAGAAAUUUAAACCUUGUAUCCUGCAACUCCAGAAUAAAAUUAAAUGAGCCUGUG